GUGCCAGCCGCCGCGGUAAUACGGAGGGAGCUAGCGUUGUUCGGAAUUACUGGGCGUAAAGCGCGCGUAGGCGGCUCAUCAAGUCAGGGGUGAAAUCCCGGGGCUCAACCCCGGAACUGCCCUUGAAACUGGUAGGCUAGAAUCCUGGAGAGGCGAGUGGAAUUCCGAGUGUAGAGGUGAAAUUCGUAGAUAUUCGGAAGAACACCAGUGGCGAAGGCGACUCGCUGGACAGGUAUUGACGCUGAGGUGCGAAAGCGUGGGGAGCAAACAGGAUUAGAUACCCGUGUAGUCCGGCUGACUGACU
rnacentral:rRNA from 1 species